rnacentral:tRNA from 1 species
GCGCCUGUAGCUCAGCUGGAUAGAGUACUGGAUUUCGAUUCCAAGGGUCGGAGGUUCGAACCCUUCCAGGCGCGCCA